UUAUUAAAAUGGCUAUGACAUAAAUUGAAGUUUCUACAAGCAGGCUUCAUAAAACAGGUUUAUUUAAAUUGAAACCGUCCAAAAGUAUAAACUCCCCCAUAAAUCCUUUCCACGAGAUUUCGAAAACUUUAAUUGAAUUACUUGCAAUCAAACAAAUAUAACUUUGGUCUCAGUUGAUAUUGCUUAUUUAGUAGUUCCUGUUAAAACUUGUACGCAGAGCACAAACUAUUUGCCAGGAAAAAUAAACUUGCCUUUUCGACAAUAUUUUGCCAGCUUUUACUUGUUAACAUGUCGUCUGACGGAAAAAACAAAACGUCGCUGGAGAAAAUCAAAGAAAACGAGCAAACUAAAACAGAUGCACACGAUCUAAUGGAAGAAGUUGAAGAAGGUGAGCUCAGUGAACUUGAAAAUCAGGAAGUUGCUGUCAAUCAAAAAAGGAAACCGAGAAAACGUCAAAGUCAUGUUCACACUUCGAAAAUUGACGAAAACAGAGGCUGGAAAGUCUUCAGAGGAAUUUUGGUCACUUUGAGUUUGUUCGCACUCGUCCUCUUUGCGAUCGGAUUACUUAUCAAAACAAGCAUUGAACUAAACGACAGAAGCGGAAAACUUAAGAUGAACCAUGAAGAAACGGAGAGUAGUAUGCAGAUUGCUUUCGAAAACAGCAUCAGCAUCAGCAACAAGAAAACUAACCAAUCUGAUGUUUCUUUACUUUAGAACAAUAUUUUUGAUGUGUCUGAAGAAUAAAUAAAUUUUAAUUUUUUUGAAAACAGUGUGAGCAGUAUACUUAUUCAGACCAACAAUCAAUUUCAGAUCAAUUUCAGAUCACAAAAAGUGACGAAAUAUU